UGUUCUGCGGAGGACACCCAAACCAGUGUGGCAACCGCAAAGCCCAAGAGCCUGACGCUUUCUGGAAGUCGCUGUAGCCCUGCUUGGGAUAUUUAGCUAAAUUGUCUAUUGGUUCAGAAGCAGGGAGCGUUCUAUUGGUAGGCUAUGUCAGGGUGGAAUUUGGAAAUGUGAAUUGGGCCAAGUUGAAGAGUACUGCUACGACAGGAACGCCAGUGUGAUAGAUCCGAAGAUGAAGUUUCAACACUGGACAGCUGAUGACCUGCUCAACCUGAGAUAUCUGUUUGAGAUUUUUGACACCAACAAAGAGCGCCUGCUGGACUUUGAUGAUUUCUGAUGACCUAUGACCUUAAGCAGGGUGCAACUGUUCCCAAGCCUCUCUAGAGCGAGGACUACAAGGACAAGGCCACCGGUGGCAUCAUCUGUGAGGCGGCACUUAUGGGCACCGUCCAGCAGAUGUGCUAUGGCGUCUUCUAAAUACAAACACACACACCUCGUGAUAUUAUAGAUUUGUUGUACUUUAACUGGAAUUGAGAAAAUUAUAUUGAAUAAAUUGGCUUCAUAUCAUUCAAAAUGAUGAAAUAUACAGUCAUCUUCCCAACAGGUCAUUUGAAGUCAUGAUGGUUUCUGUGGUUUUGCACUGUUGAACUAUGUUUCAAUUCACAAUCACAUUCACAACUAAUGUCCAGGCAGUUGUCAGCUCUAGUUUUACGGUAAUGUGACUCAAAUAAAUAAUCAAGACAAUAUAAUAUAUUUAUUUCUGCAGGCC